rnacentral:rRNA from 1 species
AUGAACGCUGGCGGCGUGCCUAAUACAUGCAAGUCGAGCGAACGGACGAGAAGCUUGCUUCUCUGAUGUUAGCGGCGGACGGGUGAGUAACACGUGGAUAACCUACCUAUAAGACUGGGAUAACUUCGGGAAACCGGGGCUAAUACCGGAUAAUAUUUUGAACCGCAUGGUUCAAAAGUAAAAGACGGUCUUGCUGUCACUUAUAGAUGGAUCCGCGCUGCAUUAGCUAGUUGGUAAGGUAACGGCUUACCAAGGCAACGAUGCAUAGCCGACCUGAGAGGGUGAUCGGCCACACUGGAACUGAGACACGGUCCAGACUCCUACGGGAGGCAGCAGUAGGGAAUCUUCCGCAAUGGGCGAAAGCCUGACGGAGCAACGCCGCGUGAGUGAUGAAGGUCUUCGGAUCGUAAAACUCUGUUAUUAGGGAAGAACAUAUGUGUAAGUAACUGUGCACAUCUUGACGGUACCUAAUCAGAAAGCCACGGCUAACUACGUG